GUCUAUGGCCAUGCCACCCUGAACGUGCUCGAUCUCACCUGAUCUCGGAAGCUAAGCAGAGUCGGGUCUGGUUAGUACUUGGAUGGGAGACCACCUAAGAAGACCAGAUGCUGUAGGCG
rnacentral:rRNA from 1 species